rnacentral:lncRNA from 1 species
AUAUCACCAUGAAGUAAGAGAGAUAACUUUAUAAUGGAGACCUCAGAAGAAGUGGACCACACGGCUCUGAACGGGUCAGACCAGCAGCGUCCAGCACUGAGGUACAGCACAGUGGGAGAGCAGCCGUCUUGCAGGACACCAGAUAGGAGACAAGUUGAUGCCCUACUUGACAUCAGUGAGGAGGACUUCUUGAAAGAGCUGGAGCCACAUGAGUAUCACUGUUACUCUGUUUGGCAAGAAGCUCAGAAUUAGUAGGCCAGGGCAUCCCCUUGUGGCACUGCAGUACUUCAUUGUAAUGAUGUUUUGUCACACAAAACAUUUUACAUUUAUCAAAAAAGUCAAAGGUUGGGCCAGAGUUGCCCCACUGAGCUGCAUACUCGUGACUCAGAAGAGAGAGAAGAAACCAAAGCAUGAGGAGGUGGACAACCUGCCCCCCUUGUCCAUUUACCCACAAGUCCUUAAUGCAGACUGUUCAGCCAGCGCUGCAGAGCACCGCUUUGAGUCUCAUGUGGGCCCACGUAACAGCUUUAAGAAAUCCAUGCCAGUAAACCAGUACACGGAAUGGUGGAGUAACACUGCUGUGGCAAGUCUGCGGGAAGAUGCCUCAGAGUCGUCCGUCCUCACUGCAAUGCAAAAGGUCAUGUCAAAUCUCGUACUGGAAGAGAAGACAGAGGUGGAAGGAAGGCUCAGAGUGUCCCCUGUGCAGAACAGGCCAACUAAGCACCAGAAGCCCAACCAUAGGCCUCAUAAUGCAGUGCUCCCCAUUAAAAACUUCACAUUCUUACCACCGAUUGCAUCACUACAUCUGAAUCCUCAGAGAGUCGGUGGCAAGAGGGCUGCAGAGGGAGAAACCAUGGAUGAGAACUGUUUCAUAUUUGAUCUGAAGGGUGGGGCAAGAGGAACAAGAACGGAACCCGUCGCUAACCUGACCUCCAAGUACCGGACAUGUCAGCAUGACCCCCACUUGUUCUCUGCUGCAAGUAUGUCACUCCACAAGAGGUGUCAAGUACCUGUGUCUUCCAGACGUGACACGGCACACCACACUAGCUUCUCGAUGGGCAGGAGUCUCAAACACCCGGGCACCGCAGCGGGUGCACAAGUCCAUCUGCGCCCAAGUAAGACUGUGUGUGCUGUCAAGAUGUAUGAUGGCUGUGAAAUAAAUGUUUAA